rnacentral:rRNA from 1 species
CACGGGGGGGAGCAAGCGUUGUUCGGAAUCACUGGGCGUAAAGGGCGUGUAGGCGGUUAGGUAAGUGGGACGUGAAAUCCCUCGGCUCACCCGAGGACCUGCGUCCCAAACUGCUUAGCUUGAGUAUGGGAGAGGAUGAGGGAAUUCCUGGUGUAGCGGUGAAAUGCGUAGAUAUCAGGAGGAACACCGGUGGCGAAGGCGCUCAUCUGGCCCAAUACUGACGCUGAGGCGCGAAAGCUAGGGGAGCAAACGGG